AUCAUGACUCUCGGCAACGGAUAUCUUGGCUCUCGCAUCGAUGAAGAACGUAGCAAAAUGCGAUACCUGGUGUGAAUUGCAGAAUCCCGUGAACCAUCGAGUUUUUGAACGCAAGUUGCGCCCGAGGCCUUUUGGUCGAGGGCACGUCUGCCUGGGCGUCACGC
rnacentral:rRNA from 1 species